rnacentral:rRNA from 1 species
UGGCUCAGAACGAACGCUGGCGGCGUGCCUAACACAUGCAAGUCGAACGGGGCUAGAAAUAGCUUAGUGGCGACCGGGUGCGUAACACGUAGCUGACCUGCCCCUCAGCGGGGGACAACAGUUCGAAGGACUGCUAAUACCGCAUGAACUUGGGAGAAUUAGAACAUCUCAAGAAAACUUACGGGGUUGAGGGAGGAAGCUGCGGCCCAUCAGGUAGUUGGAGAGGUAGAAGCUCAGCAAACAGACGACGGGUAGGGGGCCUGAGAGGGUGACCCCCCACUCAUACUCUGACAACGGACUAGACUCCUACG